GCGGGCGUGGCGGAACUGGCAGACGCGCCAGACUUAGGAUCUGGUGGUUUUCCGUGCAGGUUCAAGUCCUGUCGCCCGCACCA
rnacentral:tRNA from 1 species